rnacentral:lncRNA from 1 species
GGAAACUGUCAUACCUACUUGGCUAAUUGCUCCCAGCAAUCUUCCAAUUAAGAGAUAACCGGCCAGCAAUACUGAAAUCAUGUUCUAAUGUGUGCACGUAUUAGUAUUUCAGCUGGUCUGGAUAUCCACUUUUAGACAACAUUUCUUACCAUUUCUUUCCAUUUCCAUGGCCAAAAACUUAGAAGCAGUAGUUUCUAUAGGGAUAAUGUUCUGGUCAAAAUCAGUAUACUAGUCAUUUUGAGGCCAAGGCCCUGCUUCUAGAUUUGUACUUUAAAGCUAUAUGAAUUUGAGCCAGUUUUUUUUAACCUUUGCAGGCUUUGGUUUCUUUACCUGGAAAAGUAUGGAAUUAGAAUGGGCAAGUUAAGUGAUUCUAUAGGAACGCUAAGUGUUCCUUACCAACUUCAGCUUUGUCAGAACCAGAAUUGCUGGUAUCUCUUUUUCUCAGAAAAAAAGUCUCAAUCACCAAAAUCAUCCCACCUUCAAGCAUACUAACAGUUAGACUAAACUAAGCAUGCAAACUUUCAGUGCCCACUGCUCAAUGAACAUUUAUUUAAUCAUGUAUGUGGCAGGCCUCCUGCCCUCUGAAGUUUAUGGAAGGGAGUUUGUUGCUAGUUAGUGGUGGGAUGGUGUGGGUAAAAGAACCAAGACCUUUAUGAAUAGAAGGGAUUUGAUUAUUUAUAAAUAUUAUAUAUAUAAAUUGCAUAUUUGUAAAUAUUAUAUAAAGAUAAGGAGAGAAAGGAAAGGAAGUUAAGAAUGAGACCACAUUGCCCCUCAUGAAUUAACACUUGGUUACCUAGAUUAAAAUCACUGGUUGCUUCUUUAUCAUUCCUAUCUGCUGGUUUCUUGAGCUUUUACUAUAGCUUAUCACUGGUCAUUACUGAGGGAAGUAUAAGUUAUAUAUGUAGAAUCCAUUGAGUUACUAUUUCCUAAUAAGGACUUUGGCAGAAAAAGACUUUUUAAGGUAAGCUGCUGAGGA